AUUGAACGCUGGCGGCAUGCCUUACACAUGCAAGUCGAACGGUAACAGGUCUUCGGAUGCUGACGAGUGGCGAACGGGUGAGUAAUACAUCGGAACGUGCCUAGUAGUGGGGGAUAACUACUCGAAAGAGUGGCUAAUACCGCAUGAGAUCUACGGAUGAAAGCAGGGGAUCGCAAGACCUUGUGCUACUAGAGCGGCCGAUGGCAGAUUAGGUAGUUGGUGGGAUAGAAGCUUACCAAGCCGACGAUCUGUAGCUGGUCUGAGAGGACGAUCAGCCACACUGGGACUGAGACACGGCCCAGACUCCUACGGGAGGCAGCAGUAGGGAAUUUUGGACAAUGGGCGAAAGCCUGAUUCAGCAAUGCCGCGUGCAGGAUGAAGGCCUUCGGGUUGUAAACUGCCUUUGUACGGAACGAAAAGCCCCGGGUUAAUACCCUGGGGUCAUGACGGUACCGUAAGAAUAAGCACCGGCUAACUACGUGCCAGCCGCCGCCGUAA
rnacentral:rRNA from 1 species